UACGAGUGGCCUCAAGCGUUAUCCGGAAUGCAUUAGGGCGUAAAGGGUGUGUAGGUGGUACUGAUUAGUCGUUCUGUCAAAACUCGGGGCUUAACCCCGAAUCUGCAGAAGAAACGGUCAAACUAGAGGUUGGCAGGGGUGUACGGAAACUCAUGGAGUAGGGGUGAAAUCCGGAUUGAUAUCAUGGGGAACACCAAAAGCGAAGG
rnacentral:rRNA from 1 species